AAAAUUUUUUAUCAAAAUUUUAUCUAAUUUGAAUAUUUCUGCAUCAUUAAAAUUAUUAAUUUUGAACUAUUUUCUUUCUUUUUUUCUUUUUUUUCUUUUUCUUUGUUUUUUUUUUCUCUCAAAACUAGGAGUAUAUGUUGUUAAGAUUUAGGGAAAACUUCAAAUACCCCUCACUUGGUUUCGCACUUUAUCACUUUAGUAAUUUAUGCUUUAAAGUGUACCAAUUUAGUACCCUAUGAUUUCGCACUUUUUCACUUUAAUAUUAUAUGAUUUAAAGUACGUCAAUUUAGUACUAUAUAGUUUUAUUUUUCUCUUUUUGUCGGCUACCCUGUUAAUAUUUCGUUAAAUUAUAUACAAAAAAACUUUAGAUAUCCUAUCUAGGUUUAUCGAAUAUUUACUUUAGUACUCUUUAUUUUUAACUUUGUCGCUGAUUUCUUUUUAUUCUGUUAAUAUUUCGUUAAAUUAUAUAGAAAAAACUUCAUAUAUCCUAUCUAGGUUUAUCGAAUAUUCACUUUAUUACUUUUUAAUUUUAAUUUUAAUUUUGCCACUGAUUUAAUGAAAAAAAUUGAUGAAUGGAUAAUAAAAAAAAAAAAUCACAAAGUACUAACUUAAUACAGUUUAAACCACAGAAUACUAAAAUGAGAAAGUGCGAAACCACAAAAACUUACUUGAUACACUUUAAACCACAUAAUACUAAAGUAAGAAGUUGUGAAACCACAAUGGGGUGCCCUGAG
rnacentral:lncRNA from 1 species